UACGUAGGUGGCGAGCGUUGUCCGGAUUUAUUGGGCGUAAAGCGCGCGUAGGCGGCUUUGUAAGUUAGAGGUGAAAGCCCGGAGCUCAACUCCGGAACUGCCUUUAAAACUGCAUCGCUUGAAUCCAGGAGAGGUGAGUGGAAUUCCGAGUGUAGAGGUGAAAUUCGUAGAUAUUCGGAAGAACACCAGUGGCGAAGGCGGCUCACUGGACUGGUAUUGACGCUGAGGUGCGAAAGCGUGGGGAGCAAACAGG
rnacentral:rRNA from 1 species